AUAGGUGGCUUGCGCUGGUUACUAGCCUUGGGCGAGGUUUAUUUGUGACCGGAGGGGUCCUUUGGACAAUGCUUGUCCACAACUAUCGUGGCUAUAGGGGUUCUCAUCCCUUACCCAAAGGUUAUGUAUGGUUUCGAGGUAGAGUAAUUUGGGAUUGGUACUAGGCUUGGGCAAGGAUUGUUUGACUAUCCUGGUGCUUAGCUCCUUU
rnacentral:lncRNA from 1 species